UCAAAUUGUUUGCUUGUAAUGCUGUGGUCAUUUCCUUAGGUCACCAAGAGAGGUCUAUAAUGGUCCUUCAUAACUCCAACCUCCUGUGUUGGACACCAUUAACUCAGAAUGAAACCCAUGGCUUCAAGUAGCCAAGCUUCAAAGGUUGCUGGGAGAUGCUCCUCUUUGGAAAUGUCUGGCAGAAAGCUCAGUGUUUAAGUUCCUGGAAAGGACUUUCCACUUGUCUGGAGCUUACUGACUUCGAUGUAUCUGGAUUGUUCUUUUCUACUUACCAGUUCAUCAGCAAGGUAAGUCUUUAUCAUUCUUUUCUAAGACUCCUCAGUGUGCCUUGAUUUCUGUUUCCAAGAGGUUAUAAAUACAAGUAAAAGUCAGUCAAAAUGUUUAGUCCUUUCAUAUGGAACUUCUGUUUCUAUACAAAUGAAUGGAAAAAAAAAACAGCUGUGAUUCUAUUAUUUAUUAACUAGUCAUUGUUAUGUUCUUCAGGAAAAAAACCACUACAUUCCAAAUUUACGUUAAAGUUAAGAACUGGCUACGUAAAUUUGCAAGGCACUGAACUUCUCAGGUAAUUUUAUUUUUAAUUAUUUUUACUUUACAUGAACUCAAGAUAUAAUCCAAAAUUGAUUUAAAUCUUUGGAGUAGUUUCUUGGGUCAAGCAGUGGGACAAAAUGGAGACUAAUGAGAUUAGUCAAUGUAUGUUAUUUGCUGUGGAAUUCUACUGCUAUGCUAUUCAGUUCUCCUGGACUAGUCCUGUAAAUACUAAACAAAUAAUGUAGACCUAUCAGUGAACUUCCGUUCACUCUGGCUACUAUGUGUUUAGCCCUACCAGCACAGACUUGUGCAUUCUCAACUGGUUUCCUCUGUGAAGAGCUCUAUGUGCUGUUUUGUAAGUAAGAUAUAUUGUGUGUAAAGUCUAAGUAGCCCAUGUCAACUGACAGAUGCAGAGGAACACUACUAUAAACCCUUGGCUGGACAAUACUGAAACAAAUGUUAUUUUAGUAGUUAAAGAAGUGAAGCUGACUUCUCCUUAAUCACAUUUCAGUUAUGAUUGAAGAGACUUGACUGACUUGGACCAAGCUGAUUUGGGCCAUACGCAGAUUUUGGAAAUUCAAUUACUUUCUUCAUCUGCUGCCAACAGCAGUCAAAUGUGGCUAGUAAAUGCAAGAUGGUCCACAUUGAUUCAGCUGUUGCAUUUGAGAUGUUCUUAAGUCCUGAGUGGGAUGGAAACAGCAGUGUGUUGAAGGGGCAUUGAAACCAGUGCCAAACCAUAACCAUCCUCUCCACUAAUUUACCACAAAGAUGACUGAUAGAUUAUCUUAUCUUAUUUCUGUCUUUUACAGAGUAAUCGUGGGGAGCACAUUUGACUCUGAUAUAACCCAUUUGGUCUUAAGCCUUGGACUCUGUACAAGAAUAAGUUAUUUUGAUUGUGUGAAACAAUAUAGAGAUACAGUUGUGUAUCCCAUAUCCAUUUGACUGCACUUACAUGCCUGAUUGAGACAGACAGUACACGAGGACUACAGGGGAAACUGUGCCCUCGAAUGUGUCUGAGUAGCAGGUAGAAGAAAAAGAUGACACUCGUGAUUCAUAGGGAGAGACAGUCUCACAGCUUCAUCUCUCAGAACAGUGACCUUGACUGAGUGACUGAGCCUGCUACUUCAUUCUUUCAUUCCUGAUACUUUAAUUCCUGAUUUCUUGGUGGUCCAACCUUGUUAGGAGAAGCAUGUUCCCAUAAAACACUUCUCUAAGAAUUAGUAGCUAUCAUUUCAGCUCUGCCCGUCUUCCCUCCGUGCCAAAAGAAGAGAAUGCAUAGCAAGUUCUCUGCAGGUGCUGUGUUUGUUCUUUAAUGUCAGCAUCACAUCUCCAGUUGCUUUUAUAUUUUGAUCUGAACCUAGCAAAGAGCUAAGUGUGAAUGAAAUAAAUUAAACAAACUAAAGAUCUCUGACCUUUCC
rnacentral:lncRNA from 1 species